GAUGAACGCUGACAGAAUGCUUAACACAUGCAAGUCAACUUGUGGCGGACGGGUGAGUAACGCGUAAAGAACUUGCCUCACAGAUAGGGACAACAUUAGGUAACGAAUGCUAAUACCUGAUACUGUGAGAGAGCUUUGCGUCCCAUUAGCUAGUUGGAGAGGUAACGGCUCACCAAGGCGAUGAUGGGUAGCCGGACUGAGAGGGUGAUCGGCCACAAGCGGACUGGGACACGGGCCUUACGCAUACUGGAGGCAGCAGCGGGGACGAUUGGACGAGGGACCAAAGUCUGAUCAAGCAAUUCUGUGUGUACAAGAAAGUUUUCGGAAUGUAAAGUUCUUUCUGUUGGGCAGCAGUACCAACAGAAGAAGUGACGGCUAAAUACGUGCCAGCAGCCGCGGUAAUAC
rnacentral:rRNA from 1 species